rnacentral:tRNA from 2 species
GGCUGGGUAGCUCAGUUGGUUAGAGCGUAGCACUCAUAACGCUAAGGUCGCGGGUUCGAGCCCCGCCCCCGCCACCA